UAAAACGUAGGAGGCAAGCGUUAUCCGGAUUUACUGGGCGUAAAGCGUGUGCAGGCGGUUGUCCAAGUCGUGUAUGAAAGCGCUCCGCUUAACGGGGCGAGGCUAGACGAGACUGGGCGACUAGAAUCAGACAGAGGCAAGCGGAAUUCCGGGUGUAGUGGUGAAAUGCGUAGAGAUCCGGAGGAACACCAGAGGCGCAGGCGGCUUGCUGGGUCUGUAUUGACGCUCAGACACGAAAGCAUGGGGAGCGAACGGGAUUAGAAACCCCGGUAGUCCAUGCCGUAAACGAUGUGAACUAGGCGUUAGGGGUGUAAACCCUUAGUGCCGCAGCCAACGCGCGAAGUUCACCGCCUGGGGAGUACGACCGCAAGGUUA
rnacentral:rRNA from 1 species